CCUUCUCUCAGUGCCAAUUCACAAACAGCUAAUCAUGUAAGUCUUUCUUAUUUGUCGUGACAAAACUAUCGGCCAAUAUUUUCUUUUUCAUCAAAACCUGGAAAAUAUAAAAUACGUAAAAUUUUGAAAUAUGUUAAGAGUAAAACAGAUGCAAUCAGACAGUUUUAGUCGGAGUAAAAACAAUCUGUUUUUAUUAUAUGCCUUAAGUUUCUUGUUUUUGCUACGCACUAAGUGAAUUACUUUGCUAUCAGGAGUCGUUUAGAGUUCUGUUUGUUCUCUAAAGUUAGGUACCAUUUAAGCGUUUUCAAAAGUCUGGAGAAGUCUGUGGCGUUAGAUACUUAAUAAUUAUUAUUGCUAUCAUUAAUAUCCCCUCUUUUCAGCUAACAUUUAAAAAAUACUUUUUCCCCAUAUUUUUUAAUAAUCAUUCUCACAACUCACUUUUUUAUUUUAAUUUCAAUGAAUCAAUAUGUUUAAUAAAAUCUGAUUGCAACAUUCAGAAUGGUGUAUCAAAUGGCCAUGGAGUUCACCUCAAUGGAACUGCAAUGCAGCGGAACUCAGGCACCCAGCCGAAGAGCCAGUCACGCCUCCUACAACUAACACCCAGAAGUUCUCCAACCGUGCUUCACCUUUCAUGAAUGGUUCAGCCGAAAAGCAGUCAAGACCAGACAAACCGGAGCGAAGCUGAAUAGCCGAGAACUCAUAGAGAAGCAGAGGAAUUGGACCUCCCAUUUCUCCAAGUCUAGGAGCAGCACAUCAAGGUCCAACAGUGAUCCAAGUAAAUUCGACCUGAAAACAACGCCUCUGCGAACGCCUGUUGAUAACUCGGCUGCUGCCGUCAGGAGUUCAUCCUUUACCUCUCCGCGUUUACGCUCCCCUCCACCAUCCUCUCCUCCUCCCCCACCGCCAAGUAGCCGUUCGCCAGUUAAACUGUCUCGCACAACAGAGUCAACCAAAGCCACGCUGCCCACGCCAAAGUCCCAUGAUAAAGAAACGUUAGAGGAUAAGGAGGCUCAUUCACCUUCUAAGUGCAAGUAAGUUAGCUCCUAGAUUUUUUAAAAAACAGAAUCAGAAUGGUUUAUUUAAUUUCAAAAUUUGUUUAAAAAUAGUACGAACCCUUGAAAUUCCAUUUUUUUUCAUUCAAUCACUAGUUGUAAAUUCGGAAAUGUACGGGAACAAAACUAAACUGCUCGGAGCAAGGUUGCUAAACCUGCGGAGUCUCUUAUCGGGUCGGGUCUCUACUUAAAUUGUAACUAUUCAUUAAAGAUGGCUGGAUUCUGUUAUUUUUCAUCUUUAUUGUUUAAAAUUUUUGUUUUUUUUUUGAGAAACCGAAAAGUUUAUAUUAAAUUUUUGAAGAAAAAGUACAAGUUCCACAAAAGAUUAGUCACACUGCACCUGAAGGGCUGAAUAGGUGUUGCGUGGAGCUCACACGGGUCGAAAGUGGAAUAGACCCAGAAUAACGGGUAGCACACGCUUUUAUAGACUUGAUGACGUCACGGGUGGUGAGACUUCAAGUCUAUUCGCGAUUGGCUAGCUAUAAUCAGUGGAGCUAUCAGUUGCAAGUCUAGUCAUUAAUUUCAUGGGUGAUGGCUGGAUGAUAGGAUUGAAAAGAUGAAAAAUGAACGGAAUCCAGCCAUCCUUAAUGACUAGUUAGAAUUUAAAUGAAAAUGAGGUUACAGUGAUUACAGGACCUGUGACUGGGAGCUUGUGUUUAUCCUGAAAUUGAAGAGGAGCAAAGAGCUAAUUUUAAACGGCUCAAGUUCCUUGCACAGUCAUAUUUAUGAGACUCAAAAUCCUCUCUUUUAUUAUUCUCCUUUGAAAAUGUAAUUUACAGGAAUUUUAAAUCUAGCAAGUAUCAGAUGGUUUGUUACCUAUUGCGAUUCUUACAAAAACCCUUGAAAAAAACAGGCUUGUAUUUAGAAAGGGUCGUUAUUUCUUUUUAUUUUUCCUAAUUUAUCAUAGGUACC
rnacentral:lncRNA from 1 species